AGAGUUUGAUCCUGGCUCAGGAUGAACGCUAGCUACAGGCUUAACACAUGCAAGUCGAGGGGCAGCAUGAAAGGAACUUCGGUUCUUUUUGAUGGCGACCGGCGCACGGGUGCGUAACGCGUAUCGAACCUGCCCAUCACUCGGGGAUAGCCUUGCGAAAGUAAGAUUAAUACCCGGCGGUCUCGGACGGCCGCAUGACAGUCCGAGUGAAGAUUUAUCGGUAUGAGAUGGCGAUGCGUCCCAUUAGCUUGUUGGUGAGGUAAUGGCUCACCAAGGCAUCGAUGGGUAGGGGUUCUGAGAGGAAGGUCCCCCACAUUGGAACUGAGACACGGUCCAAACUCCUACGGGAGGCAGCAGUGAGGAAUAUUGGUCAAUGGACGAAAGUCUGAACCAGCCAAGUAGCGUGCAGGAAGACGGCCCUCUGGGUUGUAAACUGCUUUUAGUUGGGAAUAAAAAGAGGGACGUGUCCCUUAUUGUAUGUACCAUCAGAAAAAGGACCGGCUAAUUCCGUGCCAGCAGCCGCGGUAAUACGGAAGGUCCAGGCGUUAUCCGGAUUUAUUGGGUUUAAAGGGAGCGCAGGCCGGCGAUUAAGUCAGUUGUGAAAUCGUGCGGCUUAACCGUGCAAUUGCAGUUGAUACUGCGUCGCUUGAGUGCACACAGGGAUGUUGGAAUUCAUGGUGUAGCGGUGAAAUGCUUAGAUAUCAUGAAGAACUCCGAUCGCGAAGGCAUAUGUCCGGAGUGCAACUGACGCUGAGGCUCGAAAGUGUGGGUAUCAAACAGGAUUAGAUACCCUGGUAGUCCACACAGUAAACGAUGAAUACUCGCGGUUGGUUCGUUAGAGUCAGCCGCCAAGCGAAAGCGUUAAGUAUUCCACCUGGGGAGUACGCCGGCAACGGUGAAACUCAAAGGAAUUGACGGGGGCCCGCACAAGCGGAGGAACAUGUGGUUUAAUUCGAUGAUACGCGAGGAACCUUACCCGGGCUUGAACUGCCAGUGACUCAUGCAGAGACGCAUGUUUCUUCGGACACUGGCGGAGGUGCUGCAUGGUUGUCGUCAGCUCGUGCCGUGAGGUGU
rnacentral:rRNA from 1 species